UCUGCAGCGGGAGAGAAAGACAGGAGAUGAACGGUGAGUGAGUGUGUUAAACGAAAUAACCAACACCUGUCUCUUGUUUCAGUAAUUGGCGUGGAGAGAGUAUAUAAUGCCAGGAGAAACAGGAACAGGUGAGAAAGUAGAACUCCUGACGGAUGAUUGGGCCUCGUAGAAGAAAACCCGGAAGCGAUUGCGAUAUUGUGUUUAUGUUGGUGUAGUUUUACACUGUGUGUGAGCCGUUAAAAGUGAAUUAUAGAAAUAAAGUACUGUCAGUAAUCAAUCCAUCCGACCCCUCCGUCCUGUUCCUUUCCACUCACGAACACAUUACACUGAUUUAACCAAAAAGCAGCCAUUACCUCCAGGUGCCCUCCAUUAGUGAAGAGUGAAGUCCGAGGUAGAGCAAACAGUUGGACUCUCUUCACCAUGAUGAAAGAAAGAUCUCCCUCUCUACGUUGUGGAUGAACCAGACACCAUACAACAUUCCCUCAAAGAUGAUGAUGAUCUAAAAAUCUUCAGUCUAAACAGACUCCUGCAGCGCACGAGUAGUUGAAGGCAGUGGCCGAGGACUUGAGCGCCGGCCAGAUUUGACAAAGCAAUGGGUCAUCAUCCGCAAACAAUCCCAGCAUGGGCUGCCAUCUGUUUAUGGGAGAGGACAGAACAUGGAUUCCUAUAGUUUGCUUGAUCAUACAACAUUUCCAGUCUAAAUUGGGAAUAAACAGUGACAUGUUUCUAUUUUAAUUGAACAAUUAUGUUGGGAUAUCCUGUUAAGGAGGCAAAUGUUUUAUUUUUGCAGGUUUUUUAUAAUGAUAAAGUACCAGCCAAUCUGAUAUAUUUCAGUUCUGUUAAGAGUAAUUAUGAGAUAUCAGAAAAUGGGGUUCUUGUGGUGUUGGACUUGAAAAAACACUGUAGCAUGCUUUAAACAUCAGUAUUUUAGGAUGCA